rnacentral:lncRNA from 1 species
GUACUCUGCGUCGAUCAGCAGCGGGAUGUUGGCUUCUGUGCAUCGUUCGCAGAUCUUGGACAGCCUCUGCGAGGCCAAUUGGAGGUCGCACUCUUCCAUCUCAGUUAGAGGGUCUGGCGCUGAACGUGUGAGGUAAAGGGGGCUGGAGUCGCAGAGAACCGGAAUCGAAUUGGUCUUCCAUGGAAGUUGCAGAGUAGGGUCUUGUUGCUCCCACCUUAGCAGAUCACUGACUCUCUCCAGCAACGAGAUGGGGCAAAUUGCUGUGAUCUUUACGCAUACACUUGCCUGAUCGGAAAAAGUUUCAUUAGAUUCGUUUGGUUCUUCCUGAGGUGUAUAUGGCAUAAAAAUUAUUUUCCAAAUCUAACAAAUCCAAGAUUCUAUAAAGUCUAGAUUCCUUCAUAAUGAAUUGCUAUGGAGAUUCGAUUCGAUCCAUCGAAGAUACCACUGCUAUCCCAUACGUGGCAUGCCAAGGUUCAUCGAUUACGAAUCUGUUAUUCGUGAAGCAAACUACUUACGGAGGAGGGCGGGAGCGACGACGCCAUCUCGACCGUCCGCAGGAAGCCGGCAAGGUUGCGGUCGCAGGCUGCGCCGUCCUCGGCGUCCUCCAUUCCGUAGUCCAGGAUCGAGCGCAGCCGCUGCUCCUCCCACAUCCCCGUGACGGCGCGGCCCGCGUCCUCGAACCCCUCGCCGGCGCAGAAGUGGCGGUGCACCGUCGCCCUUGCGGCCCCGAUGGCGGCGGCCCGGAGGAGCUUCCCCUCCGACGCCAAGGCGGCUCGCAGAACCGCGACGCCCACGUCGACAAGGGAGCCGGCGGCCAUGGCGGUUAGGUUAGCGAGGGAGUGGAGGAGGGAGGCAGUGGGGACGGAGGCGAAGAGGCGCUGGGUGUCAGAGAGGUCGAUGACCGGGUUCGACGGAGCCUCCGGGAGCUUCUCGGUGAGGAAGGAGGCGGUGGAGAGAGAUCGGGCCAGGAGGGAUGCGGGGAUUCUGGCACAGAUGUUGGUAGCCAUUGCCAUUUGCGGGCGGCUUCUCAAGGUAUGGUUUAUGCUUUCUUGCAUUAGAAUCGUGUUGAGCUUGAUAGUUCGAUGCAUUAAUCUUCAGAAAUAUAGAGAGACGACGGCCCAACUUGGGCCUUGGAAACUCCGUUACUCGCAGAGAAACGGGUCCCGUUAUAGAAAGCUCUGCUGUAAAUUUGGUUCCUUCCUAAAAAUUCGGGUACCCGUUUUCCCACAGCUUUUUAUUAGGUCGAAGAAGAGGUGAAACCCGGUGGGCUCCACUGUUUUAGCUAAUUAAAAGAUGGUAUUAGCCUUGUGUAACAAUUAAAUUGUGCCGAGAUAAGAGUCGUAUCUUAAAUCGGGCCCCGGCGACCAGGUUUGCGCGAGAUACGCAACGUUUCUCAUCGACACGAUUGGAUGCCACGUCGCCAUUCCGUGAAGAUUCAAAGGGCAAUUCGGUCCAGCAAGAUAAGGGUUGACUCGCGGGACCGCUGGAAUCUGCGUUGAUAAGGAUACACGCAGUGCGAUGUCACCCAACGAAGCAGCGAACGCUUCCUCCGUCGUCCGUGACAGGAGGAGCUCAGUAUGGUAUGGCAUCCUCCGGCAAGGAAGGAAGUGCAGUAUUAUAGCGAUUGAAGGCUGUGCAUUCCCAAAUAAAUAAUUUGACCAUCACUUGAGAUAUGGAACAGCUCAUAUGCUACCAAAAGUAAAGGAUUACUCGAUUAUUACUGGCCAAGAUUUAACGAAGGAUGCUAAGGUGGUGCAGCUUACGACUCACGUACCUGUUGGGCUCGGACAGGUAUACAGAAAAUAAAGGAUCCCCUCAAAUUCCUACUGAGAGUGAGAUCAUACAAUUCUCGGUUUCUUUUAAUACGUGAUCCUAUAUUUUUUUUAUAAUUUAAAUUUUUAUUAUUUAACAGUCAUUAGAUCAAACAUAGAAAUAAAAGAGGAAUAAAUGAAUGAACAAACAGCAAAUCUUACCAAAACUGAGAUUUUUUUUAAUAAAUGGAAGACAAAAAGGGAACAAUCAACUGAACAGAUGUUUUACUUGUUUUAUUACAUAAUAUUGUCCUGUUUAUGUAUGAAAUAUUGACCAAAAAUAAUGAUAGUUGACCCAUCUAAAUCUUUUAGUUUAUUUUUAUUUUACUUCUUAUGUGAAAUUAAUUAAGAUAUUAUAAUCACUAUUUAGUUUUAAAGAUUAAUAUAGUCAUAAUAUCGUACCAUGCAUAUGAAGCUCGACAUAAUUAUCAUCGUCAUGAUAAUUAUGUCAAGCAAUUGAUUCAAUAUGCCUAAGCACGAACACAUGAUAAUACAUUCAUUAAACCGUAUUAUAUUAUAUGAAUUCAAAUCUCUUUUGGCAGGUUUGUGUCAUAUGAAUUUAUUUUGUUGGGACUUUGAAUAAUCUAUAAUCACGUGUAAAAUGACUAAAUUUCACAUGUUAAACACUUUAUAAAGGAAAAUUUUAUGGUAUAAAUAAGAAAGUGAUAAAAAAAAUAAAGAUUAUAUUCAUUAAAUCUUUAUAAGUUAAUCUAAGUUAUUAUCCAUGUUCAAUAUGAGAUUAAAACUAGAGAAUCACAAUCUCAUCUAUUUAAGAUCUUGAUAUCCCAUUAUAAUCUUAACAAUCAAUUAAGUGGUGACUCUAUUUAAGAUCAUGUAAGAAUUUAUUCUUGACCUCUAACCUACAAAUUUUUUUUUUUUUUUGUAUAUGAGUCAUCCACCCUAUGAUACUAUUUGUCAUGACUCGAUCUAACUUAUUGAAUAUGAACCAAACUAAAAUAUUAAGACUAUUUUUUUUUCUCACUUAGGGGUUCUCGUCAAGCUCUAAUAUAGUCAAAAAUUAUACCCUAGUAUAUUUAUUAAUUUUAAGACUAUUUAUCAUGACCCAAUAUGAUGAGAUAAUUAAUCUAUUAAUUUUAUUAUGUCUAAUCUAUUGAUUCAAAAUAUUUAAACCUAAAUUAAUAAUAUUAAUACACUCAUGGAACCAUCAUAAAUCAACCCAAAUUCUUACCCACAUCCAAUAUUAGAUUAAAUCUGAAGUAUUUACAUUAUGUCCAUUGAUAACUUGCUGAAUGUGUCACCUUGCCUCAUAAAUUGUUUAAUCUUUCAAAACUCUGAUACGACCGACUCUUUUCUGGGCCAUGAAAAUUAUCUCAGUUCUACAUUUCCAAAGGCUUGUCCGGUGCAAUUAUGACAGCCAACAUAGGCCAAAAAAACCAUCCCUGGAAGUAGCAACAUGAAGCUGGAAUCUCUUGUUUAACACGUUGACAGCACAAUGUCAUCAUCAAUUACAAGUUGCAGAGAUGUCACUGCAAGCUUAAACAUAUAUCCAACCCAGAUUCUUUUGGUACAGCAGUGAAGUCGCAGAGCAAACGUUUCUCCGAGAAGCUUAGAGGGAUGAUGAGACCUGUUGGUCGCAACAUGCUACCAAAAGUAGUGAGAUUUAAUGGCCAGUUCUGCAGGUCUCAUGGAGUGUUGCUACUUGAUGACCCAUAAGAACGCCACCAUCUUGACUCGUGAUGAUCGAGAGUUAUCCUUGCGUCAGGUCAAUGUCGACAUGAGCUUUUGAUUGAUUGGGAAGUGUUCCGUACGGGGCACUUUGGUUAUCCCCAGCCUAAGGUUCUAAUUCUUUACAUGUUUCGUUGCUGCCUUUUGCCUUGUUCUUUGCCUUUUGAUCCGGCAAUAAAUGAAGCUCCCUACGAUCACCUAUAAGAAGGCACAUAGUAUAUUACAAAUUAGCAACUAAGAUUGAGAAAAGAACAGGGUGUGAAGAGAACUUGUCAUCAAGACAAGAUCUCAUCUAGCAAAAUCUUGUGAGGCGAGUGAGCAAAGACAGAUAUCUGUUGUUACUAUAGUACAAUUAUACAUGUUAAACACCCUAACCCUUGAUUUGAGUGAUGCUAAGUCGUCCAAGCAACUGCAGCGGCAAGUCUUCUGAAGAUCUCCUUCCUGGAGAAAACAUAGCAAUGAAGAUUGAAGCUGGAGAAAGUAAAAGUGACAAGGUUGUGCAAUGGUUUGAGAUCGUAAACCUUAUGAGCUGUCUCUCGACUGUGGAGGUGCAAAGGAGUCCUCUGUUCUCCUCGGCUCUCCUGAGCAGGUAUGGCAUGACCUGCUCCACUGGCCCAAAUGGCACGUACUUGCUCACCUGGAAACCCGCGUUCCUUAGUCCAUAUGUGAGUCCAUCCGCCAUCCCCAUCAGCUGUGCGAACUGGAGUUUGCGAUCAACCCUCCCAAUUCCCAACUCCGUUGCUUUUUCUGCAGCCAUUUGUCCUGCAACAGUUCCCACGGCAGAUGAUCACCCAGGCACUCAAAAGUAACACGGAGACUGAGUCUUGAUGAUCACAGCACACCUACCAGAUCGAACGUUGUGGGUGGCAAGCACGACUGCACCGGAUCCCCUCCUGACCUUUUCGAGCAUGAAGGAAGCGCAACUGUUAAAGCAAUUGUGUGUUUCUUGGAUGCUCGGAUGAAUGGGCGACGGCGCGCCCAAGGAUGAUGCCAACUUGGUCUCUCUUGUUAUAUAUGCACCUCUCACUAGUUUGACACCCAAAGAGACCCCCUCGCGCUCCGCAGCUUGCACGGCGUUCACCAUCCUCUUCUUGGAGUCCCUCAGGUAAGCCUGGAUCGUUCCGAAGACGAUAGGGUGGUCGCCAUGAUUGAAUUGCACCGCUGCUGCAUACGUGAAGUAAUCAAUCGCGGGCUGCACCGAGGUGUACUCUGCGUCGAUCAGCAGCGGGAUGUUGGCUUCUGUGCAUCGUUCGCAGAUCUUGGACAGCCUCUGCGAGGCCAAUCGGAGGUCGCUCUCUUCCGUCUCAGUUAGAGGAUCUGGCGCUGAACGUGUGAGGUAAAGGGGGCUGGAGUCGCAGAGAACCGGAAUCGAAUUGGUCUUCCAUGGAAGUUGCAGUGUCGGGUCUU